GACGAACGCUGGCGGCGUGCUUAACACAUGCAAGUCGAACGGAAAGGCCCCUUUGGGGGUACUCGAGUGGCGAACGGGUGAGUAACACGUGAGUAACCUGCCCUUGACUUCGGGAUAACUUCAGGAAACUGGGGCUAAUACCGGAUAGGAAUCCUUGCUGCAUGGUGGGGGUUGGAAAGCUUCGGCGGUUUUGGAUGGACUCGCGGCUUAUCAGCUUGUUGGUGGGGUAGUGGCUUCCCAAGGCUUUGACGGGUAGCCGGCCUGAGAGGGCGACCGGCCACAUUGGGACUGAGAUACGGCCCAGACUCCUACGGGAGGCAGCAGUGGGGAAUAUUGCACAAUGGGCGGAAGCCUGAUGCAGCAACGCCGCGUGCGGGAUGACGGCCUUCGGGUUGUAAACCGCUUUCAGCAGGGGCGAAGCUUGUGGUGACGGUACCUGCAGAAGAAGCACCGGCUAACUACGUG
rnacentral:rRNA from 1 species